UACGUAGGGUGCAAGCGUUGUCCGGAAUUAUUGGGCGUAAAGAGCUCGUAGGCGGUCUGUCGCGUCUGCUGUGAAAACUCGGGGCUUAACCCCGGGCCUGCAGUGGGUACGGGCAGACUAGAGUGCGGUAGGGGAGACUGGAAUUUCCGGUGUAGCGGUGAAAUGCGUAGAUAUCGGAAGGAACACCUGUGGCGAAAGCGGCUCACUGGACCAUUACUGACGCUGAUGCACGAAAGCUAGGGGAGCAAACAGG
rnacentral:rRNA from 1 species